rnacentral:rRNA from 1 species
GACGAACCGUGCGAACGUUAUUCGGAAUCACUGGGCUUAAAGCGCGUGUAGGCGGGAGGGCACGUCCGUCGCUGAAAUCCCCCGGCUCAACCGGGGAACGGGCGCGGAUACGACCUUCCUGGAGGGGCGUAGGGGGACCUGGAACUUCCGGUGGAGCGGUGAAAUGCGUUGAGAUCGGAAGGAACGCCCGUGGCGAAAGCGAGGUCCUGGACGCCUACUGACGCUGAGACGCGAAAGCCAGGGGAGCGAAUGGG